GUGAAAGGUUAGUAAGUUUUCAAAAAAAAAUUAAUAAGUAAUAAUAAAUCAAUCUAGUAAUAAAUAUUCCUAGUAACCUUAAGUGAUCGUGUUUAGUGUAGACGCAUAUUCCAGCAAAGGUUUGAUUCAAGUACAGUAGAGUCUUAGCAAGGAUAUUAGCAAAAUCUAUUGUACAUCUCUUUACAAUCAUUUUGUUAUUAACAAAACCUGUCAUUCUAAGGGUUUUUGAUACAAUCUCAGAUAUAUGAAAUUUAAAUGAUAGAGAAGAGUCUGAUACAACUCCAAGAUUGUUGAAAAUUGGAAAGAUCUGAAUGUAAACUGAUCCAGUCAGUAAGGAAAGAGACAGCUAGAAAACAUUUCAGGUCAUCAACAAAACAUAAGUGAAAAAACCUGAAAAAAACACUAAUAAUAAAAAAAGAAGCGACAACAAAUGUCAUCUUUGAGUGACACCUGAAGGAACACUUAUAGCUCAUAUAUAAAAGAUAUAAGACCAGAAGUACACCCAGAGGCCAGAGACAAAAAUGCAAUUGUGUGAAUAAAAUUCGGUAUUAUAGGUAAGGCUGUUAUGGAGAGAAUACCUUUUGGCUUUUGGUUAUAUAUAUUGGCAAUAUGUGAAUUUGAAUUCUUUUGAAUAAAACCAUAACUGAUUUGAUUAACUAUAUUUUGAAAUAAAUCGGUAAUUUUUAUCGAUUUUUAUUCCUCAA